rnacentral:lncRNA from 1 species
GGAUAUUGGAAACGAUGGGAAGAAUCUUAAGAAGUGAAGAAAACUUCUCCUUAAAGAAAAGUAACGGGAGAUUCAAGGAUGCGCUAACAAGUUAUGCUCUGGAUUGCAUCAACAUGCAAGGCAGUUGAUGCUAUGUUUUUGGUUUUAAAUGAUACCUUUCUUCCUUCCUUGAAUAGAUGAGAAUCAUUGUUGAGUUUCCUAUUUAACAACCCUGGCUUACAAACGAACUCAUCAGGUUCACUGAGUUGAUAGAAAAGUGAGAGAUUAGUGAAGCGGUGAUAAAUAUCUAAAAGAAGUUGGUAGAUUUGUUGUGAUGGCAGCAGAUUGGGGUCCAGUGGUGAUAUCAGUGGUGCUGUUUGUGCUGUUAAGUCCAGGGCUACUGUUUCAGCUUCCAGCCAAAGGCAAAGUGGUGGCUUUUGGGAGCAUGCAAACUAGUGGUCUAUCUAUCUUAGUCCACACCAUCAUCUUCUUUGGACUCAUCACCAUCUUUCUACUUGCCAUUGGCAUCCACAUUUACUCUGGAUAAUCAAUCAUCCACUGCUAAUCUCCCACCAUAUGUUUUCCUUUUCUCUAUGAUUUCUCUUUUCCUUUUUCUCCUUUCUUUACUCUGCUUUCAAUUGUUUUCUCCUCAUGUAACCCUUAAGAUGUCAUCAAGGAUUCAUGGCUUAAUUUAAUUUCUUCUUUCAUUUUAUCUUCGUCUAUGUGCUUUUACCCAUGCAACAAUUUUUUUUUUUAUUUAAAUACAAUACAUAUGAUAUGUACGUUUUAAUUGAU